GGCAUGACAGUGUCUCCCAGAUAUGAUGUUCUGGGUUUCCAUUUGUAUUUAUAUUCUGGAAGAUACAGAAACUUCCCUGCCUCUGAUGCAGCCUCUUAAUAACAGACUACAACACUGAUAACUGCAGAGACACAAGUGACUUUCCUUUGGGCAGGCUCAGAGACAUAAGAUUUUUAACCCCUGGUUUUUCAACAUGUUCAUAGUGUUUACCACCACAAAAGCUAUAGAACGUGUUGACAAAGUGCAGAAAGCUGAAAUUUCCAUGUGUGGAUGUCUCUUAACUAACCUUAGAUGUACAUAUGAUGCUUUUGAUUUCAGCUAUCAAAGGAGUGCAAUGAACAGUGACAAUGUUAAAAACAAGUAGUAAGGAACACGGUCUAUCCCCUCACUGAGAUAAAAAAAAAGGCACACAGAGUGACUCGAGUAACAAAACAAAAUGCAAGUAGAGAUCACAAUUAACAGACAAGUUGCAGAUGCAGUUGCUUGAAAUUACCUAUAAUGAAACAAGGAUAAUAUUCAAAGAAACAACUGAACCUGAAUAGUCUCCAAGCCACUCCCUUACGUAAGUCAGGAAAAACACAACAUCUGGAUAUGAACAGAUUCAACUGCUGAAAAGCCAUAUUUUGCCCAAAGCAAUUUAUGGAUGUAAAAUGUGGAAAAUUAAUGCCAUGUCAUGUUGUAUAACCUUAGGCAAAUGAUAUUUCCCUUUUGUAUCUCUGCUUUCUUUCUGCUUUCAGAUGUAGUGCUGGUGAAGUUUUUUUACAGCUACUGGGCGGAAAUGAAGAUAACUAUAUAUGAUGGAAAUUUUAAUGGAGACAUAUAGAUUAAGUUGUCACAGGUCAGCUGAGUAUAUAGCUAUUGUGUAUAUAGCUAUGUGUAUAUAGCUCAGCUGUGUGUAUAGCUAUUUUACUUGUAUCACUGUAGAGAUGGAAAUAAGCAAAUAAUUACAGCCAAGGAUGGUAUAUGGGGCCAUCACUGAGAAAGUCGCUGUAGAAAUACUACACCCAAAGUUACCUAGUGACUGCUUGCAGCUAGUUAUGAUGAUAUCACUAAUAAUCAGAUAUGCAUAAAUGGACCAUAUUUUUUCACUGUAUACAACUGUUUAACAGGAAAGUGUUAAUGAUGAAGUUAAAAAAAAUUCUCCUGACGUUAGCAUAUGGUGUGAUGGACCUAAACUAGGUUGUAUGACAGGGAACUGUGAUACAAUGGCACAGCCUCCCACAUUCAGAUAGCAGCUGUAGCCAGUCUUCUGUAAAGACAUAAUUCUAGAAAAUAUUACAGUCUCAUGUUAUUAAAUUUAAGAAAUUAGGUUUUUUAUUUGCCUUUCCAAUAUUUAGAAUGAGGCAGCAAAGGACUGAUCAAGUGUAACUGGAUGCAAAUGCUAUUAAAACUUAUCAAAACACCUA